UGUAAGGGCCAGGACCGGAAUUUCCAGCUGAGCAUGAGACGAGGACCCCAUGUUCGGAGGCACCAAAAGCUCCGAUUGCAAUGGAGUCAUGGAGGUAAUGUGGAGCAUAUCCGUUAGCUCCGACGGAAAGUGAAAUCACAUGGACACCAUCAUCAACAGCUUGAUCCAUGGCAGCCAGUAUAUCGGAAUCAAAACAACCGGUUUUCCAACAAAUCUUGUAAGCAGCUAUUCUAGCUUUAAUCGCCAUUCCUCUAGCUUCACCUUUAGCAUAUUGGUAAAAACUAGCAUUUGCUACCAAAGAACCAGCUGCAGUUGAAGCAGUAUGUGUUCCAUGACCUUCAGUAUCUCUCGGUGAUUUCGCUUCUUUUGAUUCGUCCAUUGGACCCUGUGAAGCUUCAUACCCUUUGUAAAACAUCCGAGCACCAAUAAUUUUCCGAUUACAUGAACUUCUGGGAAAACCCGGUCCAGUCACACACUUCCCUUUCCAACCUGCAGGAACAGGAGAUAAUCCCUCAUCGGAAAAACUCGGUCUUUCCGGCCAAAUACCCGUAUCCAGAACACCAACAAUAACAUCAUCGGCGUAGUCAGAGUCAGGCCAGAGGCCGAAUGAGUCGGCAAGUUUUAAGAAGGUAGGUGUAUGGGUGGUGUGGGGAUACCGUACUUGGUCAGGAAUGACAGAGAUUACCCCAGGAACACGGCGGAGCUGAUCAGCCUGCCCAGCGGUCAGACGGGCGGAGAAACCCACGGCGGCUCGUUCAUAGGUAUAGAGGAUUUUAGAAGGGUGGUGAGAGGACGGAGAAACAGAUCGGACGAUGGAGGAAUACCAAUGGUGAUGGGUGGAAAAAACAUGAGGCUUGUGGGAUUUGGCUACGUGAAUGAUGAAAGUUUCAUGGUCAUCCGAUUGGACGGAAAUGGUCACCGGAGCAAGGCAGAAAGAGAGGAUGAAUAAAAUAGAAAGAACGGAGAUUUCCGCCAUCGUUGACCGUUUACCGGAGGAAAAAAGUUAUCGGCGAAAUGCCGCCGGUAUAUGAGAUAUAAAGAGAAGCGGAAGUAGCCAAUUGGUUGGGCCUUAUUGGGCCACGUUGAAGGUGCUGAUUGAUUUACUUUCCAUUAAUUUAGCAU
rnacentral:misc_RNA from 1 species